GACGAACGCUGGCGGCGUGCCUAACACAUGCAAGUCGAGCGAAUGAAGUUCCUUCGGGAAUGGAUUUAGCGGCGGACGGGUGAGUAACACGUGGGCAACCUGCCUCAUAGAGGGGAAUAGCCUCCCGAAAGGGAGAUUAAUACCGCAUAAGAUUGUAGUACCGCAUGAUACAGCAAUUAAAGGAGCAAUCCGCUAUGAGAUGGGCCCGCGGCGCAUUAGCUAGUUGGUGAGGUAAUGGCUCACCAAGACGACGAUGCGUAGCCGACCUGAGAGGGUGAUCGGCCACAUUGGGACUGAGACACGGCCCAGACUCCUACGGGAGGCAGCAGUGGGGAAUAUUGCACAAUGGGGGAAACCCUGAUGCAGCAACGCCGCGUGAGUGAUGACGGCCUUCGGGUUGUAAAGCUCUGUCUUCAGGGACGAUAAUGACGGUACCUGAGGAGGAAGCCACGGCUAACUACGUG
rnacentral:rRNA from 1 species